rnacentral:misc_RNA from 1 species
UUUCCGUAGGUGAACCUGCGGAAGGAUCAUUAAAAAAUUGGACUCCAUUGGUGAGUUCAUUAAUAAUCCUACCCUUUGUGAAUUUGUUUGUUUGAAUAAUUUUUUUUCCAAAAAAAAUUAUUGAAUGUCUUUCCCUGUUUUGGUGGAGCUUGUAAAGUGAAACCAGGCAGGGGAAUGGCAAACAAUAAUUAUUUUUGAAAAAGACCUUUUUUAAAAUUAAACUUUUUGUAUUCAUUUGUCUAAAAUUAUUUUUAUAAUAUAAAAACAACUUUGACAAUGGAUCUCUUGGUUCUCGCAACGAUGAAGAACGCAGCAAAAUGCGAUAAGUAGUGUGAAUUGCAGAAUACGUGAAUCAUCGAAUCUUCGAACGCAUAUUGCACUUUUUUAGUUUACUAAAAAGUAUGUCUGUUUGAGUAUCAGUAAAAUAUUCUCAUAAAAAAUUUAUUUUUUAUGGUUAUGAGUGUUUUACAACGAUAACAAGUUGUUUCACUUUAAAUUCUUUGUUAUCAAAAAAAUCAUUAAAAGCUAAUUUUAAAGAUUUUUAAAAUUGGAUAAAAUUUCCCGUAAAAAGGAAUAACCUAGACAAUUUUAAAAAAUUAAAAUUGGUUUGAUUUUUCUUGAUUUAAAAAGGAAAAAAAGUAAAAAUUAACUUGAUCUCAAAUCAGAUAAGAGUACCCGCUGAACUUAAGCAUAUCAAUAAGCGGAGGAAAAGAAACUAACUAGGAUUCCCUCAGUAACGGCGAGUGAAGCGGGAAGAGCUCAAAUUUGAAAUCUUCAAGGUUUACCUUGACGAAUUGUAGUUUAAAGAAGUGUUUUCUGUUGGAGUUUUGGUAAAAGUUCUUUGAAAGGACAUCAUAGAGGGUGAGAAUCCCGUAUUUGACCAUUAUCUCCAGCUUUGUGAUACACUUUCAAAGAGUCGGAUUGUUUGGGAAUGCAGUCCAAAAUGGGUGGUAAAUUUCAUCUAAAGCUAAAUACUGGCGAGAGACCGAUAGCGAACAAGUACCGUGAGGAAAGAUGAAAAGAACUUUGAAAAGAGAGUUAAACAGUACGUGAAAUUGUCAAAAGGGAAGCGUUUGACACCAGUGUUGUUUUCUCGAAAAUCAAUUAAAAAAGGCCGGAUUUUGUGUUGUAUUGACUUUAUCAGCUUUCUGCACUUUUUUCUUGUCUUUUUUAAUGCACUUUUCGUUUAACAAGUCAACAUCAAUUUCUUUUGUUGUAAAAGGGUCAUUGGAAGGUGGCUUUCUUUUCGGAGAAAGUGUUUAUAGCCUUUGGCCUCUGCAAUCGGAGAGAUUGAGGUCUGCAGCGUAGAUCCUUCGGGGUUAGAUACAUUUGUGCUAAGUUAUAGCCUUUCAUAGACAACUUGUUGACUAUGAUCAGUCAUGUAGCUUACUCGCUUAUGCUAUUUUACCUACGCUUAGGAUGUUG